rnacentral:rRNA from 1 species
CCUACGGGUGGCUGCAGUAGGGAAUCUUCCGCAAUGGACGAAAGUCUGACGGAGCAACGCCGCGUGAGCGAAGAAGGUCUUCGGAUCGUAAAGCUCUGUUGUUAGGGAAGAACAAGUACGGGAGGAAAUGACCGUACCUUGACGGUACCUGACGAGGAAGCCACGGCUAACUACGUGCCAGCAGCCGCGGUAAUACGUAGGUGGCAAGCGUUGUCCGGAAUUAUUGGGCGUAAAGCGCGCGCAGGCGGUCUUUUAAGUCUGAUGUGAAAUCUUGCGGCUCAACCGCAAGCGGUCAUUGGAAACUGGGGGACUUGGGGGGAGAAGGGGAAAGGCGAAUUCCACGGGUAGGGGUGAAAUGCGUAGAGAAGUGGAGGAACACCAGUGGGGAAGGCGGCUUUCUGGUCUGUAACUGACGCUGGGGCGCGAAAGCGUGGGGAGCAAACAGGAUUAGAUACCCUAGUAGUC